CCUACGGGUGGCUGCAGUGGGGGAUAUUGCACAAUGGGGGGAACCCUGAUGCAGCGACGCCGCGUGGGCGAAGAAGCGCCUCGGCGCGUAAAGCCCUGUCAGCAGGGAAGAAAAUGACGGUACCUGAAGAAGAAGCCCCGGCUAACUACGUGCCAGCAGCCGCGGUAAUACGUAGGGGGCAAGCGGUAGCCGGAUAUACUGGGGGUAACGGGGGCGGAGACGGGGAUGCAAGCCAGGAGUGAAAGCCCGGGGCCCAACCCCGGGACUGCUCUUGGAACUGCGUGGCUGGAGUGCGGGAGGGGCAAGCGGAAUUCCAGGUGUAGCGGUGAAAUGCGUAGAUAUCAGGAGGAACACCGGUGGCGAAGGCGGCCUGCUGGACUGAAACUGACGUUGAGGCCCGAAAGCGUGGGGAGCAAACAGGAUUAGAUACCCUAGUAGUC
rnacentral:rRNA from 1 species